AUAUUGGUCAAUGGCCGAGAGGCUGAACCAGCCAAGUCGCGUGAAGGAAGAAGGAUCUAUGGUUUGUAAACUUCUUUUAUAGGGGAAUAAAGUGGAGGACGUGUCCUUUUUUGUAUGUACCCUAUGAAUAAGCAUCGGCUAACUCCGUGCCAGCAGCCGCGGUAAUACGGAGGAUGCGAGCGUUAUCCGGAUUUAUUGGGUUUAAAGGGUGCGUAGGUGGUGAUUUAAGUCAGCGGUGAAAGUUUGUGGCUCAACCAUAAAAUUGCCGUUGAAACUGGGUUACUUGAGUGUGUUUGAGGUAGGCGGAAUGCGUGGUGUAGCGGUGAAAUGCAUAGAUAUCACGCAGAACUCCGAUUGCGAAGGCAGCUUACUAAACCAUAACUGACACUGAAGCACGAAAGCGUGGGGAUCAAACAGGAUUAGAUACCCUGGUAGUCCACGCAGUAAACGAUGAUCACUAGCUGUUUGCGAUACACUGUAAGCGGCACAGCGAAAGCGUUAAGUGAUCCACCUGGGGAGUACGCCGGCAACGGUGAAACUCAAAGGAAUUGACGGGGGCCCGCACAAGCGGAGGAACAUGUGGUUUAAUUCGAUGAUACGCGAGGAACCUUACCCGGGCUUAAAUUGCAGAUGAAUUACGGUGAAAGCCGUAAGCCGCAAGGCAUCUGUGAAGGUGCUGCAUGGUUGUCGUCAGCUCGUGCCGUGAGGUGUCGGCUUAAGUGCCAUAACGAGCGCAACCCUUGCCACUAGUUACUAACAGGUAAAGCUGAGGACUCUGGUGGGACUGCCAGCGUAAGCUGCGAGGAAGGCGGGGAUGACGUCAAAUCAGCACGGCCCUUACAUCCGGGGCGACACACGUGUUACAAUGGCGUGGACAAAGGGAAGCCACCUGGCGACAGGGAGCGAAUCCCCAAACCACGUCUCAGUUCGGAUCGGAGUCUGCAACCCGACUCCGUGAAGCUGGAUUCGCUAGUAAUCGCGCAUCAGCCAUGGCGCGGUGAAUACGUUCCCGGGCCUUGUACACACCGCCCGUCAAGCCAUGGGAGCCGGGGGUACCUGAAGUGCGUAACCGCGAGGAGCGCCCUAGGGUAAAACUGGUGACUGGGGCUAAGUCGUAACAAGGUAGCCGUACCGGAAGGUGCGGCUG
rnacentral:rRNA from 1 species